rnacentral:tRNA from 1 species
GCCUUCUUAGCUCAGUGGUAGAGCGCGUGGCUUUUAACCACGUGGGUUGUUUUGAUCCCACAGACGGUG